rnacentral:sRNA from 1 species
GCUGGCGGCCAGCAGAUACGGAACCAGUGCCCCUCAAUUGGAGAGAUUUGGUUGACUUCAGUAAUAGGUUGAGAUCCCUUAGCAUUGUUGGUGAUCUAUGAAAUUGCUUCUUACCAUGAUCUCAAUGAGCUAUGUUUAGUACUGAGGAGCAGCAGCUUGGUCGGAGGUUUGUUCAGGAGCUUGGUUUCUAGAGACAAAGCUAAUAUUGGGACGCGAACAGGCAACUGAAUAGGCAUCUCUCUAGUAUUUAUGCCUUUGGCUGUACAUUAUGAAGCCGUCAUGCGGCCUGAAUGGGACGUAUUGCGAGAGAAACCAGCGAAGGUAGUUCAAAAAAAGAAACACAUUGAUCAGCA